ACGCUGGCGGCGUGCCUAAUACAUGCAAGUAGAACGCUGAAGAGAGGAGCUUGCUCUUCUUGGAUGAGUUGCGAACGGGUGAGUAACGCGUAGGUAACCUGCCUUGUAGCGGGGGAUAACUAUUGGAAACGAUAGCUAAUACCGCAUAACAAUAGGUGACACAUGUCAUUUAUUUGAAAGGGGCAAUUGCUCCACUACAAGAUGGACCUGCGUUGUAUUAGCUAGUAGGUGAGGUAACGGCUCACCUAGGCGACGAUACAUAGCCGACCUGAGAGGGUGAUCGGCCACACUGGGACCGAGACACGGCCCAGACUCCUACGGGAGGCAGCAGUAGGGAAUCUUCGGCAAUGGGGGCAACCCUGACCGAGCAACGCCGCGUGAGUGAAGAAGGUUUUCGGAUCGUAAAGCUCUGUUGUAAGUCAAGAACGAGUGUGAGAGUGGAAAGUUCACACUGUGACGGUAGCUUGCCAGAAAGGGACGGCUAACUACGUGCCAGCAGCCGCGGUAAUACGUAGGUCCCGAGCGUUGUCCGGAUUUAUUGGGCGUAAAGCGAGCGCAGGCGGUUUGAUAAGUCUGAAGUUAAAGGCUGUGGCUCAACCAUAGUUCGCUUUGGAAACUGUCAAACUUGAGUGCAGAAGGGGAGAGUGGAAUUCCAUGUGUAGCGGUGAAAUGCGUAGAUAUAUGGAGGAACACCGGUGGCGAAAGCGGCUCUCUGGUCUGUAACUGACGCUGAGGCUCGAAAGCGUGGGGAGCGAACAGGAUUAGAUACCCUGGUAGUCCACGCCGUAAACGAUGAGUGCUAGGUGUUGGAUCCUUUCCGGGAUUCAGUGCCGCAGCUAACGCAUUAAGCACUCCGCCUGGGGAGUACGACCGCAAGGUUGAAACUCAAAGGAAUUGACGGGGGCCCGCA
rnacentral:rRNA from 1 species